CACAACAAGGAUUGGGCACCUCAUGGCUCCUCCACCAUUUGCCCCUGAUACGCCAGCAUCUUCCAAGUCGAGGUUCCAGGUGUUUUUGGCACUCUGCCCAAAAACAUUGCUGACCUCUGAUUUAGAUCUUCAGAAACCCUGCUUAGCUGCCACCUGCCCUGAAGUGCAUAUCCAGGCUCCUCAUAGGAUACAUGGGGAGAGUUAAGCAUCCAAAGAAAGGGUGGUUAGAGAAGGGAGCUCCCCAGCUGAAUGGGGAGCAGCUAAAAACAGCCAAGAAUGAAAUGCAGAGGAAAGGGGUAAGGAUUAAAGACUCCUGUUUCUGACCAGGCUGGUGCUCUCUUCUCCUCAGCAUCCUCAGCCAUGUACCAUCUCUUGGACUGAGUGCUUAAGCCCAUUUUUUUCUGUACAAGCAUGCACAUGCAUACACAAACCCAGAAGACCUGAUAUCAGGCAUGAGGCUUUAGAGCAUUUAUCUGGUGUAUGAGAGUGAGACUGUGGAUCAGGUGCUUGGAUCCAUGUGCCUUAACAUUUAGGGUAUGGAGGGACAAACAAAGCCAGCUAGGGAGCCUCUGGUUCAGGAGUGCCGUGAGCACAUCUACAGAGCAGGCUCUGCUGGAAAAGUAGGUGUGGGAAAACCUAGUCUGAGAGUCUGCUCCAGGGCAUCAGCCUUGAGCUCGGGCUCCAACUGGCUUGUUAGCUGCUGGCUGGUAUCAGCACUUUGGUGGCUUUGCAGAUGUCUACUAGUAGAAACUCAGGUUCAUGUGGUUUACAAGCAGCCUGAGUGGUAGUUUUGAGAAAAUACGUGGUGUCAAAAUGAUGGAUUUGAAAGUUUAAAGAAGCAGAUACGUGUCUUUGAAGAUAUAGGCUUUUGCAUCUACUUCCCUCUCUAAUACUUCCCUUCUGCACAGAGGCGUGAGGAUCUAUAAAGAUGGUGCGGUGCUCAAAUACCACGGUCCACAGAUGGACAGCCUGUUCUAGAGAUCUGUCGAUUACUUUCCACCGUGUUCAGACAGGCCUUUGUCUCUUCAUUCAGGCACAGCUCUAGAAGUACGUGAUCAUGGUGAGUGACCUCAAUACGUGGGCAAAGACAUUCCCCCGAGGCAUGUGUCUGGGCUGCAGCUCAACAGCCAUACUGCCAAACUGUAGGAUGCUGCAGGUGACUAACAAGGACAAGGCACUGAAGUCACUUGUGCGGAUUUAUUUGUUACUGCUACUAAUAAGGAUUUCCUACCUCAGCUAAACUGGAGUCUGGAGACAAUUAGCUUGUUUUGUGAAACGACCCCUUGCACUAUGGUUCCUGUGUUAAACCAUUACCAUCCCUUUAAACAGGGCAUAGGAGGAGGGAGAUGGUAGUAGGCUCCCCCUCGCCCCUGCUCAAGCGAGCAACUCUAUUAUCCCCUCCUUGCAGUGAACUCUUGCAGCUUGCGCUUCAGGAAGCAGCAAUGGGAGCAGAUGGAUAUUUUUCCUACCCUUUGCACUUGUUAGAUGAAAAUCAUCUCCCUGGUAGAAUCGACUGUAGAGGAAGCCGCUGGCCUGCUGGAUGGCUCUGCAGGAACGGGUGUGUAAAAUACGCUGCAGAUAAUGAUGUGUACGCUCAUAAUAAUGAUUGUAAUACCUGUUAGAACUGACAGCUGUACACGUUCUCUGCUCUGUCGACAGAUGUUCUUCUGCCUGGCGAAAUCCACAAUGGUUCUGGGAGUGGAUCACACUUUCAGAGAUGUGCUGGUGUGCAGCGCCUGUGAAGAUCCUCCAACGUGGUUCCAUGUUGUGGUCACUUGCGGCUACCCCGGGCCAUCCUCAGGAGGUUCGUAUGAACAGCCGGAGCAAAAGCAAUACACAU